rnacentral:rRNA from 1 species
UUUUGCGGAUUUCUUCGGAUUGAAGCAACUGUGACUGAGCGGCGGACGGGUGAGUAACGCGUGGGUAACCUACCUCAUACAGGGGGAUAACAGUUGGAAACGGCUGCUAAUACCGCAUAAGCGCACAGUACCGCAUGGUACCGUGUGAAAAACUCCGGUGGUAUGAGAUGGACCCGCGUCUGAUUAGCUAGUUGGUGGGGUAACGGCCUACCAACGGCGACCCGAUUCAGUACGUCCGGACCUGAGAGGGUGACCGGCCACAUUGGGACUUGAGACCACGGCCCAACUCC